rnacentral:rRNA from 1 species
AAUACAUGCAAGUCGAGCGAACAGACGAGGAGCUUGCUCCUCUGACGUUAGCGGCGGACGGGUGAGUAACACGUGGAUAACCUACCUAUAAGACUGGGAUAACUUCGGGAAACCGGAGCUAAUACCGGAUAAUAUAUUGAACCGCAUGGUUCAAUAGUGAAAGACGGUUUUGCUGUCACUUAUAGAUGGAUCCGCGCCGCAUUAGCUAGUUGGUAAGGUAACGGCUUACCAAGGCAACGAUGCGUAGCCGACCUGAGAGGGUGAUCGGCCACACUGGAACUGAGACACGGUCCAGACUUCUACGGGAGGCAGCAGUAGGGAAUCUUCCGCAAUGGGCGAAAGCCUGACGGAGCAACGCCGCGUGAGUGAUGAAGGUCUUCGGAUCGUAAAACUCUGUUAUUAGGGAAGAACAAAUGUGUAAGUAACUAUGCACGUCUUGACGGUACCUAAUCAGAAAGCCACGGCUAACUACGUGCCAGCAGCCGCGGUAAUACGUAGGUGGCAAGCGUUGUCCGGAAUUAUUGGGCGUAAAGCGCGCGUAGGCGGUUUUUUAAGUCUGAUGUGAAAGCCCACGGCUCAACCGUGGAGGGUCAUUGGAAACUGGAAAACUUGAGUGCAGAAGAGGAAAGUGGAAUUCCAUGUGUAGCGGUGAAAUGCGCAGAGAUAUGGAGGAACACCAGUGGCGAAGGCGACUUUCUGGUCUGUAACUGACGCUGAUGUGCGAAAGCGUGGGGAUCAAACAGGAUUAGAUACCCUGGUAGUCCACGCCGUAAACGAUGAGUGCUAAGUGUUA